UAAACUUUAUAUUUAUCAAAUUCUAAAUUUAUUUUUAUGGUAGCAAUUGUAAUUUACUCCAAUUUAAUAAAAUCCAUAUCUUAUACUUAAUUUUUAAUUAUUUUAAUCAAAAUUAAUUCAACCCAAAAAUAAUAAUUUUGAAAUUUAAAAUUUACAUUAAAUUUAAUAAAUUGAACCUUAAAUUAUACAAAUUAAAAAUCGGAUUAAAAAUCUCAAAUUUCUGCAUUCCGGAUCUCGCCGAAGACUCGCUGGUCGGUCGCCGGCAGCGCCGCGACAGUGGUAGGAAAUCGCGGUUGUUCAAAAUUAAGUGUUAUUCCCACCACCAGGCUCAGAUUUCACCGAUCAGUCCAUAUUUGGUGUCCAUUGGGCGAGAUUGGCCCUCUAAUCAGCCGGAACGGCUUAACAGGAGCCUAAAGUCGCCAUUAGUGUCACUGUCAGUCCAGAAGGAAGGAACCACAGCUCGCUUGAAUCACGAGCAGGAGAGAGAGAGAGAGAGCGCGAUGUUGAGCGGUGGCGAUUGGAGGCUCGGAUCGCUUGAAGCGGUGAUCGAAGGCUGAGGUCAUUCGCCUGCCUCUACUACGUUCACCGGAAACUGAAAAAGAGGUAGAGGAGAGAGGCUGGUGGCCAGACGACGAGGAGAGGAUGGGUUCGUUUAGCUCAGGUGGCCGAAACAAGAGAGGAGGAGAGAGAAAUUCGCUGUUGGCCGCUCGAUAGAAGAAGAGAAGAGAAGAAGAAGGAAAGAAAGAAAGAAAGAAAUGGGAGAAGAAGAAACUUCUAGAGCAUAUUAGGUGAUUCGGGUUCGAUUUAAACCGGUUUCGUCUAAAUCAAUGAUUUACUUUGGUUUUCUCUUGAUAUAAAGUUU
rnacentral:lncRNA from 1 species